UCCGGCUUGACGCCGGCAGUCCCCCGAGAGUCCUCAGCUUUACCUGUUAGCAACACGGGGCAAGGGUUUCGCUCGUUAUAGGACUUGACCAAACAUCUCACGACACGAGCUGACGACAGCCACGCAGCACCUGUAUGAAAGUCAGUACCAUCCCGUUAAGGACUGGUUUUGUUGUUCAUAUGUCAAGGGCUGGUAAGGUUUUGCGCGUUGUAUCGAAUUAAUCCACAUGCUCCGCCGCUUGUGCGGGCCCCCGUCAAUUCCUUUGAGUUUUAGCCUUGCGGCCGUACUCCCCAGGCGGGGCACUUAAUGCGUUAGCUGCGGCACAGAAACCGUGGAAUGGUCCCCACACCUAGUGCCCACCGUUUACGGCGUGGACUAC
rnacentral:misc_RNA from 1 species